rnacentral:rRNA from 1 species
UACAGAGGUCUCAAGCGUUGUUCGGAAUCACUGGGCGGAAAGGGUGCGUAGGCCGCACGGAAAGUCAGAGGUGAAAUCCCGGAGCUCAACUUCGGAAUUGCCUCCGAUACUCCCGUGCUUGAGGACUGGAGAGGAGUCUGGAAUUCACAGUGGAGCAGUGAAAUGCGUAGAUAUUGUGAGGAACACUAGUGGCGAAGGCGAGACUCUGGACAGUUCCUGACGCUGAGGCACGAAGGCCAGGGGAGCAAACGGG